GGAGGAGCCCGAGCGGGGGGACAGGGCAGAAAAGUUGCCACUUACGCGGUCGCUGCUCCGGCGGCGGCGGCGCUUUUAAUCCCGGGCGGCGGCGCGGGGGCUACAGAUCCCAUGCAGGCUGCGGCGGCUGCGGCAGGAGCGCGCUCCGCGGAGGGGCCCGGGCGGGGCUGCGCCGCCCCGCGCAGGGCAGGGCGAGGACGACCCCCGCCGCCGAAGUUCCCCGGGAGGAGCCGGGAAAGUUGCGGGCGGCGGAGAGAGCACCUCGGGGCGGGCGCCCCGCGCGGCGCGGAGCGGAGCGGCCCCGCGGCAUCGCAUCCCCGCGGCGCUGGGCGCUGCCCGGCCCGGCCCGUGCAAACUUUGCGGCCGCCUCCGCGCGGGACGGCUGAUGGAUGCGGGCGCGCCGGGAGCCGGGCUACAGGUUUCACCAGCCAGCGCUGGCAACAGCUUUGUCAUUUUCUAAAAAUAAGAAGCUAAAAGUUAUUGUAGAAGAAGGGGCUUUUUUUGUCCCCUGCACAAUAUGCCUUUUGUGAGUUUAAUGCCAUUCUGGGGCUCUCUAUAGCCCCGGACAAUGGGGAACUCCAGGAGGCGGCUGUGCCUCUGCCUUUUUUCUUUCUUGCUUUCUCUUCCCCCCCCCCCCAACCCCCUCCUCAUUUUUUUCUUGUUUUUCCCCCCCUUUUUUUUUUCCUUUUUUUUUCUUCAUCUUUUUUUUUUUUAAGGCAAGGAUGCAACAUUCCUGCAGUCCCAGCAGAACCUCUGGUUUGAUUAAAUAAAUACUUCUCUGGUGUUACGGUAACAUUUUUCACGUUGUGUUUGCGUCCAUUUGUGAUUAUUAUUUAAUUUUUCUAUUUCCAGCAGCUUUUCCUUCCCAACCCAACCUUGGCAAAAAAUAUAGGUGGAUGCUGGGAAGGGGGGAAUCUCAAUUUCAGGAGGUGAACCAGCAAAGAACCUCUGUCCAGGAUUCAGGAAUAUGUUUUCUUCAUCCUCCUCUAAGAGACUGUUUUAUUACUGGCAGAAAUGCAGCUGAAUUAAAUCAUCUCUUGAAAAUCUAAGGAAGCUUUUCAAAUGGCUUUUUUUCCUUUUUCCUUUUUUUUUUUUUUUUUUUCCCCGUCUUUUAAAUAGUAACCCAAAUAAUUAACUUCCUGGUGCAUUUCAUAGCAUUGAACAAGGAAUGCAGUUGCGGUCAGUUUUUCCAUUUGAGAGAACCUUAAUGUAGAUGUAUUUUAUACCGAAGGUAAUAAGCUGCAUGUUUGUUGGUAUUUCACUGAAAUGUAUUGAGCUUUCUGUAUUUCGUAGCGUGGCGGCUGUCGCUGGGAUUUUGACACAUCCCUUCGGUGGGAUGGGGGGGAAACAGAGCAGGAACGGUUCCUAGAAAUUGUGGGAGGCUAUGCUGGGUCCUGCUGGAAGCGUCUCAUGUUUUGGAGAUAUUCCCAGCGCUGCGGAUCGAGGUUCAGUGUGUACUACAGUUGUCUGAAUAUUGUAAAUGCAGCACCGAGUGUGUACGGUUGAAUUGCGCAUGCUGUGGGUUCUUUGAUUUGUGAAAUGGACGGACCCAGCACAGUGCUGGCUCCAUUCUGGCAGCCGUUGCUCCAGAUGUGUUUGCCUGGCUCUGUGGGGCAGGAACUUCUUCAAAAAAAAAUCAACACAAAAAUACCCAAAGCAAGAAGCCCUCCGGCAGGCGGAAUUGUUCGGGGCUGCUCGGUGUGCUGCGUAUGGAGGCGCACGUAAUGUCUAACUGUUGUUCUGAGCGUGAGACGAAUGUGUUCUGGCAAUGCCAUCCCAGUGCUCGGUGCGAUGUGCGGGGAGGCUGCGGGGCAGCGGGGAAUGGGUGCUGCCCGAGUGAGCUUCUGUGGAGUAAAGAAAAAGUAAACAAGUGGGGAAGGUGGCAUGGGGACCUAUAACUGAUGCUGUGGGAACAGGCACCUGAGCCCACGCACGCGGAUGCAGUCUGGUAGUCUUGUGCGUUUUCUUUGCAUUUGUGUCAUGCGUUCCAGUUCUGUGUUGCCGUCCUUUAAUUUCCCAUGACAACAUAUGGAUUCCAUAAAGGCAAACAUGCCGAAGUGCAUCUGUCUGGGUCGCUAACGCAAACCAAACCUCCCUCUCCUUGCAGUGGUGCUCCGGCCGUGUGCUGUGCCCUCCCGUGACAGCCGCUCCCGCAUUCCUGUCCUUUUAUGCUCCCACGGCGAUCCCGAGUGCCCCAAAGGGAGGAGGGCAGCGGCCGCGGGGUCAGCGCCAGGAGCGGAAGGGUUAAGCGGGAGCGGGGGCAGCCCAUGGCCGCGGCCCCCAGGAGCAGCCCGGCUGGGGUCAAGGCCGAGGGCACUGCUGUCCCCUGGCGCGGGCAGAGCCGGCAGCGGCUGGGAGGGGAGCACAGGCUGAGUGUGGGGCGAAGCUCUGCCCUCGUUCUGAGCACAGAGAAAGGCAGAGAUCCUAUUUUCCCAUUUCUGCCAGGGUGCCAGAAGAAGUGGCAAGGUGUGCGCGUGUCUGGGUGUGCAAAGAAGGGCGCAAGCAAGGAAUACCCAGAGAGGCAAGCAGCCCCAUGCAGCACCAAAACACAUCCAGGGAAUCAAGGAGCAAUUUGUACAGUAAUGGUUGGGUACAGCCUUCGAACACACGUAUGCGCACGUUUCUCCUCUAGCAGAUUUACUCCCAUUAAGACUUCUUUGUGCUGGGCGAAAAGACGACCCGGUUCCAAAAAUACAGGGAGAGCCCACCCUGUGCUAUCUGGAAACCCCGACAGCCCUGCCUGCUGCGCUGUGGACGCCCCUUGGUUCCGUCCGUGUGGCUCUAUGUAUCCACGGAUGGGAUUUCUGGUUCAAAUCUCUCUUACUGUGCUCAGUAAAAAGAACCUCUCACUAUCAGAGUUGCAGGAAAAAAUAAGAUUUUUCCCGUAAGAAACUUUCUGAAGGUGCCAGUAUUAUGAGAUGAACCCCCUCUUUUGUCUUGCAGCACACCUGAUGUAUUUGCACACUGAACUGUAUUCUUCAUUUGUACGUUAUUUUGAACAAAUGGAACUAAAUACUUGUGCCAUAAAGGAAAAAAUAUUUGUUAAAAUAUGUGAGGAUUAAGAGGAACAAUGUUAAUGCAGAAUGUUUGGCUUCUGCCGUGGUGCAUGUGGCUUUCUGGACAUUACUUUUCACAAAGGUGCCUGUUUUCUUUGAGAUGCACCAUAAAGGUGAGCAGCCUCGGGCUUCCCUGGCCCUGCAAGGAGCUGUGCAGCUCUCCUGCAGCAAUGCCGCGCAGCUCAGCUCGAGGCGCAUCCCGAGGCAGCAACGGCAGAGCUGCACGGGUGGCAGUGAUUUCUGGGGAGCUGUGGCCGUGCCGCAGUGUCCCCGGGGCAGCAUGUGGGGCUGGGAUGGAGUCCGUGGGGCACGGGAGGCUGCAGGCUGCCCUGCGUGGCACACGGGAGAGCACGUGGCCGUGGGGAGGAGAAGGUUCCAGGCUGGCUUUUAAAAUUCAGGCUUUAAAAAUUAUUGUGGGGAAGAAAAUCUCCAUAAUAUCAUCCACUUACACAGCCUUGUGCUUCUUGGAAAUACGUCUGAAGCAUUAGAACAAAGCGCAGAGGGCUGGAGUCCUUGAAGGAGCUCCAAAUGAUAAAGUCUGCCAUUCAUUUUAAACACAGCGUGCAUUGUGAAAACACAGGUCAAUUUGAAGGCAUUUGUCAGAUUUCCAGUUCCCUCUCCUCCUUUGCAAUGGAAAUUUGCAAUCAAAUCCCUGCACUGGAGUUGGGAUGUCUGCUCCAUCAGUUAUUACCUUAUGCUCAAAGCACUGCCCAGGUACACUGCCUUUUUAUUCAGAAAGUUUGUUUGCGUGAAGUUGCACACCAGAAAGGGGGAAGGCUGACAUGAAUUGGGCUGGAGCAGAUGCAUUUAUUUAGGAGUGGGGAAAGGGAGGAAAGCAGCUGAUGAGAAGCGACUGAUUGCAAAGGGCUGUGUGAGCCGCAGAAGCGAUCUGAUACCAUUUAAAGACGCCCAGCAAGAGGCAUGGAUGGGGAUAUUCCAGCGGCAGCACGUUCAUUGUUGGGAUGCAGAAAUGCAGCAGGGCUUAGAACGGGGCUGGAGAGAUGCACUGCUGAGCAAUCCGGGCAGAGACGUGUGUUCCUUCUGGCAGCACGUCUGUAUUGUUGUGGGCAGGGGAGAGACAUGGGGGGAAUGCACAUGUUUAGAACAAACGCACACGGGAGGAUCUGCGAGAGAUUUGGACUGGGGGGGAAUAUUCAGAGCAAUUCAGAGCACCGUUUCCUCUCCUCUUUUGUCUUCAACAGACCUGCAGUUUUGUACUCAAAUAUUAAAAUACACCCAUCCAUCCAUUUUGUAACCGGGGGGCUCAGCACAGCCCUGCGGCGGUGGGACACAGUGGGCGCUUCACACCUCCGCAGUGGCUGCAGUCAGGCUCAGCAGUGGCCCCCGAGUCACCGAGCACAUCUUCAAUGGGAACGUGCUUUUUUUGCAGGCCCUAACACAAGACCAGCAGACUUGUCUGCGAUGGAAAUAAACACUUGGCAUACAUCUGUAUGUUUCUUUGCUUUUUUUGAAAGAAACGAAGAAAAAAGUCUUGGCAUUUAAUUAGGACACACUAACCUGAUAAAUAUUGAACGUCAUUUCUUUGUGAGCUGCUCUGUAUGCUCAGUGUACUCUGUGGAUGUAUUCCACAAUUGCACUUGUUUAAUGCCUAUAUCACCUCAUGCCUAUUGUAUUUAUGUUGUCAUCAAUGUCAGAUUUUAAUUAAACAAUUAAAUCACUGUCACAGUAAUUUCCCUAGAAAACUAUUUUAAAUGAAAAAUCCCACAAUAAAUGUUUGGGAACCGUCUUAAAAGGAAAGAGGGGGAAAUAAGUUAUGAAAUAAAAUUACAAUUUGCACUAAGCUAGAAAGAAAAAAAAAGGGUUUUCAGCACCGAGAAGAAUCCUGCUUUACAGGGCCAUGUCCACACAACCCAGAGCGCGUCAAUGCGGCCACCGAACCAACGCGCUGUCCUGUGGUGCUGGGGGUGCUCCCUGCAGGGCUGGGCAGGGACCCUGCUGCCCUGUGAUCCAGGCACCGCGUGCCUCAGGGCACGUCCCCACUGCCCCUCCCGUCCAAAUUAUUUUAGAUUUAAAAUGGAGAUUUGCAGAAAAGCCUGCAUCAAAUUGUUCGAUACGUUAAGAACCAAUACCAGCUGCACUUACUGUAUAGUAACCGUGUACUCAGAGCCUAUGCUGUAAGCAGUGGGAAAUCUGAUCCGAUAUAGCAUCUUUGCUGCAGCUAAUCAAAUAGUCCAUCUUUACCUCUCAUACAUGCAUGUUUUUGUUCCUCUAAAACCAAAACCUGAGCUUAUACAAAAGGUGGAAACGAGAAGGGAGUGUGUACUUCGUAUAAAAUAAAUCACAAAUACGAGAUGCAAAAUUCAUCAGACAAGGUAUCUGAAAUAAUCAUGCUCUCAAACGUACAUUCAGAAUAUUACCUGUAUUUAACAUAAGCACAUCUGACAUUUGCAGCACAGCCUCAGACAUGAGGCGUGCUUAUUGAAAUUCGGAUGCCGGCAUGUGAUUUCAGGCAGCAAUGUACCCUGCAGCUAACCCUGACCCUCCCCUAUUAGCCCAUGUGGCUGCUUUGAUUUGUGCCCUCUGAGGGCUGGAGCUGGGAACCGAGCGCCGGGGAGCGGCAGCGGCGGAGACUGCGAGGGCCCGAGCCCGGCCUUACAGAGCAGCGAGGAGGGACAGGGCUGCCUCCCUGCCCCCAAAGCCGGACAGGAAUCCCAGGCAGCAUUUCUUUUAUGUCUGUACUGCAUUUUUAUUGGAAUGCAGCUUUGCAGAUCGGUUCUGCCUGGGAUGCGUGUGGUUUCUAUCAGCCCUGAAGUGUUUUACAGCUGGAGAUGAUUUGGGGGGCACAUCGAGCCUGUCCGUCUGCAGCCAGGUCUGACAUUUGUCUGCUGCUGUCUCUCUAAUUCUUUUCUAUGUUGCCUUCAUCAAGAGGUGAGAUUAACUGUAUUGCACCGGGGGGGGCAGGGGGAUGGACGGGCGCGAUGACACCAGGCCCAUCCCUCCCUCCUCCUCAUUUUAGCCUGCUUCUUGCAAAAGCAAUCCACUAGCAGAGCCUCCUCCUUCCUGCAGCCAGAACGCAUCAGGAGCUGCAGAGGUACCUGGUGAGAGCCCAGAACAAAGGGGCAACUGCAGAGCACUGCCUGUGGGAGCCCCCACCAUGGCCCUUGUGCUCCCCUUGUGAGGCCAGGGCACGCAACUGGCCCUGUACGCAGCCAGCGAGCGCUGGCCUGGUGGUGGCAGGGAACUCCAUCUAUGGGGCACGAGCUGCACCAGAGCCUCCCUGAGCGCUCUGAGCUGCUCCUUCUAGGAGCCAGCCAGCAGCAUCCUGCUUUUGUCACGUACGGGGCUGCCAUCACAAGUAGCUUCGCUGAACACAAGCACACAAAUACGUAUUUUUGUACACUGUAAAGGAAAGGGGAAAACAGAUGGGGUUGCACAGAACCCUCCUCCAGGCAGGAGUGGCUGUGCUGGAGGAAAGCAUUGCUCAUAAUGACACUUAAGCCCAGACACUUGAAUGCUAAAGGUUAAACUUACAUUCUUCAAGAAAGGGCUCCUUGCCAGCUUGAACUGUGCUGUGUGUUCACUAUUGCCUCCUCCUCCUCUUCAUCCACUCUCAAUCCACUUUUGGUAUUUGUUGAAAUAACUGAGGCUAUUUUUGCUUUUUUUUUUCCCUAAGACAUGUUCUCUAAGCCAGUCCUCAGCCCUGUGUCUGUCACAGGGUUAAAAAAAAUAAGGAUCAGCCUAAUGCCACUGAGAAAGCUACGCGUGCUUUCUUAGCUGAAAGUUACUGCAGCUUCAACCCAGAGCAGGGCAGUAUGAGUAUGAUUCUAUCCUCCACUGAUGGUCCAUAGAAUUUCAUCCUCUAACUCCUGUGCCAAGCUUAGUAAGCAGAACACAUAUUCCAAGAGGCCAAAAUGUUUAUAUGGAUUUAAAAUACGAAUUGAAAGGCCUAUAUAAAUACAACAAACAAGAGAGUGGAGGAAGAACUUUUGGAGACAACAAUGACCGGGGCUGGAGAUGAAACUACUGGCAAUAAAUGACUCCAAAUGCUCGAGCAAAGAAAGGACAGGCAGGGAAAUGCCCACAGAGUAACAUCACUGUAAGACAGAUUACAGCAUAAUAUGAAGAAGCACAGAUGCUGCAUGGAUGCUGCAUUUAGAUCCUAAUGAUCAGAGAGCACCUUCCCCAUAUACUUUCAUGCUUUUCCCCAGGGAUGUUUCCCAUUAAAAAAAAAGAAGGCAGGUGCAUUAUGGCUGCCUUUGGAAGCAGCCCCUUCCCUCAGCACCACGUCAGCGCUGGAGGAGAACCGCUACGCGGUGAACGGGGGCUCCCUGCGCCCUGCCGGCAGCUGGGGCAGCAGGUGGGGGGCUGGGCAGGAUGAGCUGCAGCCCUGAGGUGCAUGGAAAGGAACCAGUGAGUGCCCGAGCACUCGAGUGCAAUUUUAUUUGGGUUCAGACCUGAUAAAGGCAGUGACGCUCAUUUUCCCACUUCCUGUAGCAGGGAACAGGGUGCACAGGGCUCAGCAUCCCUUUAAACAGCCGCUUGCUGCAGUGUAUUUCUUGGCACGGCCCCGAUUGUAUCUUCUGGUCCCAGUGGAAGUUCACACUUUUUAAUAUCUCUUAUUGCUUUGCAACUGCUCCCACCAGUCAGCAAUCACAAACAGGAAGCGGUGACUCAGCAGAGCCACAACUGUGCACGGACAGCGGCUGGAGAGACGGC
rnacentral:lncRNA from 1 species